AGUGAACGCUGGCGGUAGGCCUAACACAUGCAAGUCGAACGGCAGCACAGUAAGAGCUUGCUCUUACGGGUGGCGAGUGGCGGACGGGUGAGGAAUACAUCGGAAUCUACUUUUUCGUGGGGGAUAACGUAGGGAAACUUACGCUAAUACCGCAUACGACCUACGGGUGAAAGCAGGGGAUCUUCGGACCUUGCGCGAUUGAAUGAGCCGAUGUCGGAUUAGCUAGUUGGCGGGGUAAAGGCCCACCAAGGCGACGAUCCGUAGCUGGUCUGAGAGGAUGAUCAGCCACACUGGAACUGAGACACGGUCAAGACUCCUACGGGAGGCAGCAGUGGGGAAUAUUGGACAAUGGGCGCAAGCCUGAUCCAGCCAUACCGAGUGGGUGAAGAAGGCCUUCGGGUUGUAAAGCCCUUUUGUUGGGAAAGAAAAGCAGCAGGUUAAUACCACGCUGUUCUGACGGUACCCAAAGAAUAAGCACCGGCUAACUUCGUG
rnacentral:rRNA from 1 species